AGUGCGUAAUAGCUCACUAGUCGAGUGACACUGCGCCGAAAAUGUACCGGGGCUAAACAUAUUACCGAAGCUGUGGAUUGUCCUUUGGACAAUGGUAGGAGAGCGUUCUAAGGGCGUUGAACCAUGAUCGCAAGGACAUGUGGAGCGCUUAGAAGUGAGAAUGCCGGUGUGAGUAGCGAAAGACGGGUGAGAAUCCCGUCCACCGAUUGACUAAGGUUUCCAGAGGAAGGCUCGUCCGCUCUGGGUUAGUCGGGUCCUAAGCUGAGGCCGACAGGCGUAGGCGAUGGAUAACAGGUUGAUAUUCCUGUACCACCUAUAAUCGUUUUAAUCGAUGGGGGGACGCAGUAGGAUAGGCGAAGCGUACGAUUGGAUUGUACGUCUAAGCAGU
rnacentral:rRNA from 1 species